UACGAAGGGGGCUAGCGUUGUUCGGAAUUACUGGGCGUAAAGGGCGCGUAGGCGGCUCGGCAAGUUGGAUGUGAAAGCCCAGGGCUCAACCCUGGAAUUGCAUUCAAGACUGCCUUGCUUGAAUUCGGUAGAGGUUGGUGGAAUUCCCAGUGUAGAGGUGAAAUUCGUAGAGAUUGGGAAGAACACCGGUGGCGAAGGCGGCCUUCUGGACCAAUACUGACGCUCAUGCACGAAAGCGUGGGGAGCAAACAGG
rnacentral:rRNA from 1 species